AGUUAAAAAGCUCGUAGUUGGAUGUCUAGCUUUGCGCGGACGGCCCGCCUUCGGGUUGAGUGCUGGAAGCGCUAGCUUGUUUUCCGGUUUGUGUCCCUUCCCUUGACUGUGGCGGGGUUCACGAUCCGGAUCUGUUACUUUGAAGAAAUUCGGGUGUUCAAAGCAGGCUUAUGCCGUGAAGACUGCAGCAUGGAAUAACAACAUAGGGCUAUCGCGUCUCAUUUUGUUGGUUCUGGGAUCGUAGCAAUGAUUGAUACGGACCGUUGGGGGUGCUGCUAUUCCGCGGCCAGAGGUGAAAUUCUCAGAUUCCCGGAAGAGCAACUUAUGCGAAAGCGUUCACCAAGGAGGUCCUGUUUAAUCGAGAACGAAAGUUGGGGGAUCGAAGACGAUCAGAUACCGUCGUAGUCUCAACCAUAAACUAUGCCGACUAGGGAUUGGAGGACGUUGACUUAUCCGACUUCUUCAGCACCUUAUGAGAAAUCAAAGUCUUUGGGUUCCGGGGGAGUAUGGUCGCAAGGCUGAAACUUAAAGGAAUUGACGGAAGGACACCACCAGAAGUGGAACUUGCGGCUUAAUUUGACUCAACACGGGAAAACUUUCCAGGUCCAGACAUAGUGAGGAUUGACAGAUUGAAGCUCUUUCUUGAUUCUAU
rnacentral:rRNA from 1 species